rnacentral:rRNA from 1 species
CAAGAGUUUGAUCAUGGCUCAGGAUGAACGCUGGCGGCGCGCCUAACACAUGCAAGUCGAACGGUUAAAGCAUCUUCGGAUGUGUAUAAAGUGGCGAACGGCUGAGUAACACGUGGGCAACCUGCCCUUUGCACUGGGAUAGCCUCGGGAAACCGAGGUUAAUACCGGAUACUCCAUAUUUGUCGCAUGGCGAAUAUGGGAAAGCUCCGGCGGCAAAGGAUGGGCCCGCGGCCUGUUAGCUAGUUGGUGGGGUAGUGGCCUACCAAGGCAAUGAUGGGUAGCCGGGUUGAGAGACCGACCGGCCAGAUUGGGACUGAGACACGGCCCAGACUCCUACGGGAGGCAGCA